UGCAAGUCGAGCGAUAACUGGGGGCAACUCUGGGGAAAGCGGCGGACUGGUGAGUAACGCGUGGAUAACCUGCCUUGAGGCUGGGGAUAGCUGUUAGAAAUAGCAGGUAAUACCGAAUAAGUUCGCAUUGCUGUGGCAGUGUGAGGAAAGGAGCUACGGCUCCGCCUUAAGAGGGGUCCGCGUCCCAUUAGCUAGUUGGUAAGGUAAAGGCUUACCAAGGCGAAGAUGGGUAGCCGGCCUGAGAGGGUGAACGGCCACACUGGGACUGAGAUACGGCCCAGACUCCUACGGGAGGCAGCAGCUAAGAAUAUUCCGCGAUGGACGAAAGUCUGACGGAGCGACGCCGCGUGGAUGAGGAAGGCCGAAAGGUUGUAAAGUUCUUUUGCGGAUGAAGAAUAAUCGGGACAGGGAAUGGUCUCGAGAUGACGCAAGUCUGCGAAUAAGCCCCGGCUAAUUACGUGCCAGCAGCCGCGGUAACACGUAAGGGGCGAGCGUUGUUCGGAAUUAUUGGGCGUAAAGGGCGCGUAGGCGGUUAAUCAAGUCUGACGUGAAAUACAUGAGCUUAACUCAUGAACUGCGUUGGAAACUGGCUAACUAGAGUCACGGAGGGGGAAUCGGAAUUCCUGGUGUAGGGGUGAAAUCUGUAGAUAUCAGGAAGAACACCGGUGGCGAAGGCGGAUUUCCAGCCGAUGACAGACGCUGAGGCGCGAAAGUGCGGGGAGCAAACAGGAUUAGAUACCCUGGUAGUCCGCACUGUAAACGAUGCACACUAUGUGUCGGGUCGAGCGAUUCGGCGCCGGAGCGAACGCGAUAAGUGUGCCGCCUGGGGAGUAUGCCCGCAAGGGUGAAACUC
rnacentral:rRNA from 1 species